GUUUAGUUUAAUAAAAUCAGUAAAAAAGAUAGUUAUAUGAAAGAGAAAAAGAGAGAGAGAGGUGGGGAGUGUAAAGCGCCAUCGUGUGGCUGGGAACAGAAUUGCAGGGUGACACAUGGCCGCCGGGGUGGCAGCUACGUGUUUAAUGUGAACAAGAAAGGAAGAUAGUGCACCGCCAUGACAUUAGUGCAAAAUUCAAGAGGUCAAAACUGAAAUUAAUCAUGCCCAUUUAUAUGUGAUAUUAUAUUAUCGGAAUUGGGUGUAAAUGUUUCUACCGUGAUGAACACUACUUUAAAAAGUUUAAAAGACUGUGGAUUUUUAUCUUCACAUGUGAUUACAUUAUGUCAUCGUCUAAUCUCAAAAUAUGAGAUUUUGAAAGAACGGUGAAUGAUUUACGAAGCCUAAUCAAAAGGAUCGUAACGCAAAACUAAUUGAGAAAAAAAUGCCUCUACCGAAAAGAUUGGUGGAACCCGUUCACGUCGCACGUGGUACGAUACCGGAAGAUUUUCCAUUACCGUCGGAAUUAGAAGCUGUCACCAAUGGUACUUUGGCUAAUACCAUUAGACAACUCUCCAGCCUAUCACGGCAUGCCGAAGAUCUCUUUGCAGAGCUAACCAGGGAAGCUCAUGCGUUAAGCGACAGGGCAAAUUCUUUGCAAGCUAGGAUAGAUCGAUUGGCCGUCAAGGUCACUCAACUUGAUAGCAAUGUCGAGGAAGUUUCAUUACAAGAUAUACACAUGAGGAAGGCAUUCAAGAGUUCGGUCGUUUUCGAUCAACAAGUAGUAUCAAGGGAUACAAUGCCAACGGCGAUGUUAGAAACUUAUCGUCAAUGCGACACACCACCACCUUUAGAUAAACUCAACAUUUAUAGGGAGGACGGAAAAGAUGGAUUGAAGUUUUACACGGAUCCAAAUUAUUUCUUUGAUUUAUGGAGUCAAGAGAUGUUGAAAGAUACGGAAAAGAAAUUGCAUGAUCGAGGGAAAAAGACUGAAACAGAAUAUGCCGAACCAUACAGAAAGCCUCAUAGGCCACGGAACGAAGGUAGCGGAGGUGGAGGUAGACACAAGAAGCGUGUAAGACAGCCUCAUAAUACAAGGGAAAGGCAGAGACAAUUAGCGGUUGGCCAUGGGGAAUAUAUAAUGCCAACACAAGGGGUUCAAUAUAGAGCACCUCAUACCAUGACCGAUGAAACAAUGAUGGGAAUGGUCGUGACCGAAUCAAGACCACCUAGACCGAACAGUAUUGAACUUAGACGAAGUUAUCCACCAGAGGAACAACACUUGUAUAGCCCUUCUUCCUCUGAUCAUUAUAGGGCAACGAAUUCUGUUACCCAUGGUUAUGAAGAAAAUGUGUACGGUUCUCAUUAUGCUUCUGGCCAAGGCCAACAAGGUAGCGAAACUUAUCAGAGUCCAGGAGGACAAAGUACACCCAGUAGAAGUGGUAGAUCGCGACCUUCUCAACCACCUCCGGCACCACCUAGCAAUACUUCAAGUAAUUCGACUCCCACGGUGGCAUCGGCUAAUAAUACUCCUACCAGAGGGAGAUCUAUGAGCACUGGUAGAGAUACGCUUCCACCUCCUCCUCCUCCACCAGGAGAAACAAUGUCUCCACCUUCCAUGAACGGUUCGAUACCGUCCCACUUGUUAAAUAGGAAUGGAAGUCGUCCAAACAGUCCUUUACCGAGUCAUCAUUCGACUCCUACUCCACCAAAUCAUUCGGCACAAAUUGGUACAGACGAAACAGAUCCCGUCUCUCAAGAUUUACCACCACCACCUCCAACACCCGAUCCUACACCACCAAGGCCUAUUUCUCCACCGUGUAAUAUUCCUCCACCUCCUCCGCCACCACCACCACCACCAGCUAUUAAUGGUUCAUCCCCACCGGUACCAUUGACGAACGGAGAUAUUGCCAAAAUGAUAGCCAUGUGUCCGCCGAAAUUAAAACCAUUGAAAAGUAUCGAUGGACAGCUACGAAAGUCUGCUGUCAAUCCGAACAUCCCAUUGGUAGAUCCAAGGAAUGAUUUACUUAAAGCGAUAAGAGACGGGAUAAAAUUGAGAAAAGUAGAAAAAAUCGAGCAGAAGGAAGUAGAACGUGUUAACGCAUUGAACGACGUUGCAUCCAUAUUGGCUCGCCGUGUUGCUGUCGAAUUUAGCGAUAGUGAUUCAGCUUCGGAAAGCGAAUGCGACAGCGAAGGAUGGGGCGAACAAGAAACGAAUCUCGCGUGACCCACCUCUUUUCCAUCUGCCGCCACUGCCUCUUAGAAAAAUGACCGAGGAGCUACCCUUUUAAUUUCUUCUUGAAAUUUCUUUGGGCCAUCUACAUGAGAAUUGUCGAAACGAUCUUGCACAGUCUAGCCAAAACUACAAGAUCAUAAAACACCUGCACCAGCGAAGUUAGAAAUCAUUUGACGAUAUACUGUGAGAACGUGGGGAAUUAAAUAAAUAUAAUAAUGUCGUUAAUAAAAUUUAUUACGUUUCGGUGUGACCGAAUUACGAUUUAUCGCACGACUAAAAUUAUUCAUAUAGGAAUAAAAGCCAAAGAACCUUGCAUAUUCAUAGAUUAAAUUUUGUUUCUUUUUUUUUUUUUUUAUUUUUUAUUUUUUUUUUUUUUUUGUUUUUCCUUUUUUUUUUUUUUUUUUUUCCGUUGUAUUUUGUAUUUUCUCAAUCUUGCCACUCGAAUAU